GUUUCAAUUCCUCAUAGGCAGGCUAUCGGCUGCGAAGGCCAAAGAACCUUCUGUUGUGUUUUGAUGG
rnacentral:sRNA from 1 species